UAGAUUCUUCCACACAAGCCACUCUACUGGGGAUCAAAGAUAUGAGGAAAUCACCAAAUCUCUGCAGGGAGGAAGGCCUCAAGAGGUUUCCGGAGGGAUCUUCAGUCACAACCGGAGAAAAGAAUUCAAUGCACAGGCAGAAACGCCGCAACAGCAACUCAUGCUAGGGAUCAGAGAUGUCAGGAAGCAACCAGAUCUCUGAUGGAGAUAGACAGCAUAGAUGAAGUUCAU
rnacentral:lncRNA from 1 species